rnacentral:lncRNA from 1 species
AUUCGAGUUUAUAUUGAAUUUAGGAAAAAACUUCAAAUGCCUCCUAUGUGGUUUCGCACUUUUUCAUUUUAGCACCCUAUGGUUUCAAGUGUAUCAAGUUAGUACCCUGUGGUUUCGCACUUUCUCACUUUAGUACCCUGUGGUUUCAACUGUAUCUGUUAGUACCCUGUGAUUUCACACUUUCUCACUUUAGUACCCUGUGGUUUAAUAUUUUGUUAAAUUAUAUACCCAGAAAUGGAUAAUAAAAAGAGAAAAUUGAAACCACAUAAUACUAACUUGAUACAAAAAUGAAACCAUAAGGUACUAACUUGAUACACUUGAAAUCAUAGGGCACUAAAGUGAGAAAGUGCGAAACCACAGGGUACUAACGUGAUACACUUAAAAUUACAGGAUACUAAAGUGAAAAAGUGCGAAACCACAUAGGGGUAUUUGAAGUUUCCCCUUGAAU